GUGGGGAAUAUUGCACAAUGGGCGCAAGCCUGAUGCAGCCAUGCCGCGUGUAUGAAGAAGGCCUUCGGGUUGUAAAGUACUUUCAGCGGGGAGGAAGGCGAUAAGGUUAAUAACCUUGUCGAUUGACGUUACCCGCAGAAGAAGCACCGGCUAACUCCGUGCCAGCAGCCGCGGUAAUACGGAGGGUGCAAGCGUUAAUCGGAAUUACUGGGCGUAAAGCGCACGCAGGCGGUCUGUCAAGUCGGAUGUGAAAUCCCCGGGCUCAACCUGGGAACUGCAUUCGAAACUGGCAGGCUAGAGUCUUGUAGAGGGGGGUAGAAUUCCAGGUGUAGCGGUGAAAUGCGUAGAGAUCUGGAGGAAUACCGGUGGCGAAGGCGGCCCCCUGGACAAAGACUGACGCUCAGGUGCGAAAGCGUGGGGAACAAACAGGAUUAGAUACCCUAGUAGUCC
rnacentral:rRNA from 1 species